rnacentral:sRNA from 1 species
GUCUCUGUUUACCUGCCAAAGGUCUGUUUACCUGACCUUUAUCUCAGCCUCUGGAAACAUGUUUCCUAAGUCUGUUAGUAGGCACGAGAAGCUGCCUUCUUCCUGUCCACUGCCAAGAGUAUCUGCCUUGCAAAAGGCUUUGGGCCAGAUCAUCACCUUGCAGAACCUGCUUCACUGGGAAAGAUGCCGGGCAGCCUUGGGGGAGCCGUAGGUGGGAGCAUCAGCAAAGGCCAUAGGAAAUGUUCUCUCAAGAAGGGCCACAGAGAAAAAGAAGAGCUUAGCUGCUUUCCAGACUGUCCUGGCUAUGAGGACCCGUGAGUCCCCAACUCUGCCAUCUAUCUUGUCAAGUUUAAUGAAGCCGCUUCCUAACAUCCUUACCUGCUGUUUGUAGAAAAGGCUACCGAAUCCCUCUCUCUACCAUGAACUUAGCUCUUGAUGUACUUUAACUGACGUAAAACAGUAACACAGAAGCACUGGAUGUGUGGUCAGGGGAAGAAGGCGGUCCGACUGUGAUGCCGGAAUUCAGAGAAUUAACCAGAGAGAUGGCCGUCCCCGGAGGGCCUGUGUUCUCUCGGUCCUAUCAUGUUGCACGGCCACCACCACUAGCAGUACUUCACACGUUCUUUGUAUCACCUGUGUUCAGAGGUAGAGCAGUGACUUCUGGCCACCAUGCAUGAAAAGCAACCGAAUCAAAAUCCAGACAGCAACAAUCUCCUGGGAGAUGUCCUGUCACAUGUUUUUGAAACAGUUUCACUCUCGAGCCUGUGCGCAUCCGAAGUCUCCCAGAUGCUGAGGUUCCAGACAUGUGUUACCACAUUCAGCUGAGUGUUAGAUUGUGUUGUUGUUCUGAGUUUCUAGGGACUCUUUAUCACAGAAGUGAUAGCUUGGUCAGGGAGGAUCGGACGGAACACGGUCCCAGAGAAGAAAGACCCAAUCCCAAGGCCGUGAGCACUCAACAAAGUGUAGGUUCCCUCGGCAUCCAUUUCUGUGACUUGCAAAAAUUCUAGGCCUUGGUCUCUGAAUGGGUGACUGGGCCUUAGAGUUGACAUUUCUGAAAGAUUAAACAUCUGUUGGCCCUCAAAACCCAUUUGUCUUGCACACUUAGCUUUUAUGGCAUCUUACUCCCAAGAGCAACAUGUUACAAGCCCUGUGGCAGGAGGGAGAAGAUAGGCCAUGCAUGUCCCUUCUCAUUCUGUGCUUCAUUGAAUAGGGAUUUUUAUGCCAGUAUGUCUACAUCACAACUGGGCUUAUGCAUGGUGUGUACAUGAACAGAUUCAUACAACUACACACACCCAGAUAUCCCAUGCACACUGGAAACCUUUCCUGGGUAGCUUUGCUCAGUAGAAGCUACAGAUGAGGGCAAAUACUGCGGAGGACCUCCCUGCAGGUGCUGGGAAUCCCCCUGCCUCCUACCCCAACCUCCAUGUUGGCCUAGGUAUGUGUGGAGAAGAAACUGCAUCUGUCUGGCUUGGUCAGGAAAGCAGAGGCCAUGUACUCUUCAGGCAAACAACAGAGUCCAUCAAAUAGAGCGAGAAGAUUCUCAAACCAGAAAUCUUCAGAGAGGGUCCAUUGGCCUCUAAACAGCAUCGUGCUGUCUGGAAAGAGAGAUCCCUUAGAGAUGAUCCCUCUCAGCCAGAGCUUUGCGGGACACAGCCAGCCUUUUUAUUCUCUCUAAUGACUACCGACACCACCUUUUCCAGAAAGGAAGCAGAAUCUGAGGAGACCAACGUAGACCAGUCAUGAGCUCCGGUGCCUUCAAGCUCAGGGAUUGGAUCAGUCUGAGGGUCUAAGGUUCCACCCACUUCCUCGCCGGCUGAGGGGAGGUCCAAUUCAGGUCUAGUCACUAAUGGCCUGCACACUGGAACCAGAAGCCUUUGGGGGGCAGGUGUGGGGGCAGGGGGGAUACGACUGCCAUUUCCUCUGAGCUCUCCCCUGGUCUCCCCUGAACAUAAUUCCUGAGCAGUGACCUCCAGCAGAGUGUGAGGUGACUUCCUUCCAAGCAAUGACAGAGGGGAACGACAGAGGAAUACCCAGGCUUUUUGGUUCUGGGGGUCACAACGCCCCCAAACAAUCUGCACGUGGCUCUCGAGAGCUCAAGGACCAGUUUAAGGUAGGUUUCAACCUCAAAUUCUAAGUAUGCCUGAUCUUCUGACCUUCCCUCCACCCCGCCCCCAGAAAAUUCCAAUCGUGGGGAAGAUAAUGAGGCCCCCAAGUUACUCCUAACAGGACCCAGGCUAGACGCCCACCCGGUUACACCCACCUGGCUCAGAGAUCUGAGGCAGGCGAGGCCCUGAAAGGCCGUGGUCUAUAGAAGCAGUUUUCUCUCCCAAGACAUCACGCCCUGUGGUACCCAUACACUGAUGCUGUCAUAGUAGAAACAUGGAACCCCCAAAUUCUCCAGAAAGAAGAAGAACGGGUGCCACCGCACCCUUUUUACCUUGAUUUCUCUAUCUGGGAAGUGGGCCCCAAGGCCUUCAACUGCCUUUAGGGAUAUCUGUGGGCUAACCAGUUUCUACAAAGCUCUUUGAGGUUCUGGGUGAGAGGCGGUAGAGUCGGCCAUCAGUUUGUUGUGGACCCUUAUGUUGUCUGGGUAUCAUGUCCUCCCUAGAACUCAUGUGGUCUCUUCCUGUAAGCUGCUGUGGGAGAGUUACCAGAAGGGAGGCUCCUUGUGACUUCACUGUGGUGCCUGCUGAGGUCCGAGGGCUCAGUUGCCCACCCAUCCAGGAAAGCCUAACAUUCAGUAAACAUUUAAAAGUGGUGCUGUGUCAGGCACUGUUCCAGGGUCUGGAAAGGACCAAGAGGAAGGGAAAGAUCUCGGCUAGAGGUGAGUAUGGAGGGAAAGUCAGUGUAGAGGGACAAGAACGAAGGUGUGUCACAGGUGCCCUGGAGAGCUUUUGGGUCCCACAAGGAAAAGUAUAAGAAGGUUCCAGAAAGAAGUAAGGCUCAGGUGGAGUGAGCACAGAAGGUGUCUGAAGGAAAACAGACCCAAGUAAAGUGGUUUAGACUUGGGUUAUCCCUUUCCUGGCACCACAGUGUUUUAGACAGAAGCAUGGUCGCAGUGUCCUCUUAAUGAGGUCAGUUCAAAACCAGGACAGGGCCCAGGAAGAAGGGGUGGCUGUCACAGCUGCCUGUGGCUGGCAAAGGCCAUGGACCCAGAUAUCUUUUUGUGUGCUCCAUGGGGAGCAGUCUCAAGCAGGCAGCAGGCCCUUUUGAAGAUCAUGGACCCCACUGUGAAGAUGGUUUUCAGUGCAGUCAACAUAGUGAUCCUGAGAAUCCAGGCCUGUGGAUACUUGCAGGGAAGUUGAAGUUCAGUGAACUGGUGAAUGAACGCCGUGUUGGAAUCCAGGAAAGCUGGGGAAGAAACAGAGGUAACCUCGGUUAAGCCCAAGGUUUCCCUUAGCCACCCUUCCACUCAAGGAAAAGUGGCUCCUACUUGGUGACGGUACCUUCUUGAGAGACACAAAGAUGAUUAAUUAAUGGAAAUUAACUUUAUGAAUAAUAAAUACUCAGUCGGAUGAAGUAGCAUUUCCAUCUGUCAGAUCUUCUGCUGUAGCCAUUUAACUACAGCUGGAGCGCCAGGAAAACCAUCAACAGAAAAAAAAAACCCACAUCAUGUUGCGUUCCGUUUAAAGUUGUAUCAAAGGCUCACUAAGCAAGUGGAGGCAUGAAAAGCAGCCAAACCCAGAAAUGUGGCCUUGAAGCCCUGCCUCACCUGCUGUCCCACAUGCAGCUGGUGGCUCACUCUGAACUCUGCACUGGUCUAUUGUCAGUCAAAUCCGAACAUGUCAAAAUGAGUCUUUCCAUUUACAUUCUACUCACAAGGAAAUGAUGGGCGUCCUUUUUACUGUGCAAACAGCAUGCAUGUUUUCUCGGUACCUCAGUAGCAUAGCCUCCGGGUGUAGACAAGCUACAGUCAGUCAUGUUUGUUGUAGAGUGACAGACACUGUGGAGUUGGUGUAUACUCUGGGGAAGGCUCUCUUCUGCUCCUCAAGGGGGAUCAACACAUUAUGUCAGACCCUACAGUGGCCUUGAAGCUUCCUUUCAGUCUCCUUGCCUUUCCGCAGUGCGUGUGGAAGAGGCACACGAUCUGUAGUUUCAUCGUGUGAACGUGAGACAAGGGAAUUGUGAAGGUUCUUCUCUCUCAUCUUGAAAGGUCGUCUCAGUGUUCUGCCUUCCACGCCUGCUGUUUAAGUUCAUACUCACCAGUACUAGGUGGUCUCACUGGUUCUGGACAACUGGAAAGAUCAGUGAAAUAAAAUAGGAAGUAUUUUGUAACUGAGUGAAAAAAAAA